AGAUGCUGAAAGUGGAAGCGUGGCAGGCAGGCCCGUGGAGCCUGAGCCGCCCGGUGUUAAUGAUGAUUAAUGAAGAGAGGAGAAAGGCUUCGGCUCCUCCUGGCCCUGUGAUGAAGCUCCUGAGGAAAAAGGAGCAAAAAUAAUGACUCAUCUUUUACAUACUGUAGGGCUGUCUGUCUCCCUCUCUACACUUACGGCAUCCACACCUCUCCCCGUGUCAGCGUCGUACGCCUGCUCUUCUCAACAGCUUUGGUGAGGAGACUGUGUCAGGUCAAUUAACAGUGCUGCUCCGUACAUUUUCCACCUGACUCUUCCCAUUAGCACCACUGAGAUACACAACAGCAAAGAGCGUGCAACCACACCUUCAGUAGCAACAGGAAACUAGAGUUUGUGUCGAUGUGAGGGCGUGUGUGC
ensembl:lncRNA